GGGCUUUGUUUGCGCAGGAUAGGUGGGAGGCGUUGAAAAUUUUCUUGCGGGAAAGUUGGAGCCGUUGGUGAGAUACCACUCUAACAAUGCUAGGAUUCUAACCCUACUCCGUUAUCCGGUUAGGGGACAGUUUCAGGUGGUCAGUUUGACUGGGGCGGUCGCCUCCUAAAGGGUAACGGAGGCGUGCAAAGGUUUCCUCAGACUGGUCGGAAAUCAGUCGUAGAGUGUAAAGGCAUAAGGAAGCUUGAUUGUGAGACCUACAAGUCGAACAAAGACGAAAGUCGGCCUUAGUGAUCCGACGGUUCCGAGUGGAAGGGCCGUCGCUCAACGGAUAAAAGUUACUCUAGGGAUAACA
rnacentral:rRNA from 1 species